rnacentral:rRNA from 1 species
AUGGCUCGAGAAGAAGAGUACGUCGAUCUAUUGAUAGCAAAAAAAUUGACAGAUGUUGGUUCACUCCUUACUAGAGUAGAGACAAGAUACAAGCUCGAGAAGCCAAUUGAGAGAAUCAACAAUGAUCAAAAUAAAGACAUAGAGAAAAUAUUAAUUCAAAUAGUGGGAGCAGUUAUCGAAGUUGGAAUUUUUAUUGAAAUAUCUAAUUAUGGUUCUUGUUUUUUUUGGAUCGAUCCUCUUUGCGAAGAAUUGGUGAGUUAUGUACUCCGGUGUAUCAAGAAGUCGUUCAAUAAAAAUAAAAGGCAAUGA